rnacentral:rRNA from 1 species
CACGUAGGGGGCAAGCGUUGUCCGGAUUUAUUGGGCGUAAAGAGCGUGUAGGCGGCUUUGCAAGUCCGUUGUGAAAACUCGAGGCUCAACCUCGAGACGCCGGUGGAAACUGCAAAGCUAGAGUCCGGAAGAGGAGAGUGGAAUUCCUGGUGUAGCGGUGAAAUGCGCAGAUAUCAGGAAGAACACCCGUGGCGAAGGCGGCUCUCUGGGACGGUACUGACGCUGAGACGCGAAAGCGUGGGGAGCGAACAGG